rnacentral:rRNA from 1 species
UACGGAGGAUGCGAGCGUUAUCCGGAUUUAUUGGGCGUAAAGCGAGCGCAGGUGGUUUAUUAAGUCUGGUGUAAAAGGCAGUGGCUCAACCAUUGUAUGCAUUGGAAACUGGUAGACUUGAGUGCAGGAGAGGAGAGUGGAAUUCCAUGUGUAGCGGUGAAAUGCGUGGAUAUAUGGAGGAACACCGGUGGCGAAAGCGGCUCUCUGGCCUGUAACUGACACUGAGGCUCGAAAGCGUGGGGAGCAAACAGG